CUUGCUCUCUUGAGUGCCAAGGGGUGAGGUUGCUUCUAUAUCGUGACCGUGCCUGGUGGAUAACUAUGACUACUCGUAACUAAUACUGCUACCGCCCUGGCCCUGAAAGGGAAAGAUCUUCAUACCUCAACCUCUCGCUAUUGCCGAUGUCGAAUUAGCAUUAUGUUGAGGUAGGGGCUCACGCUCGCCACGAUCUGUAUCCGUACUGAGAGGAUGAUCAGCACCACUGGGACUGAGACUGAGACCAGACUCCUACUCCUGGCAGAGGUGGGGAAUUUUAAUUUUGGACAAUGGGGGAGAUCCUGAUCUGCCCCGUGAGUGUGUAAGGCCUUCGCCUUGUGGUUGUCUUUCACUUUGGAAAAAAAAGAGUGGGCUAAUAUC
rnacentral:rRNA from 1 species